AUUGAACGCUGGCGGCAUGCUUUACACAUGCAAGUCGAACGGUAACAGGUUAAGCUGACGAGUGGCGAACGGGUGAGUAAUGCAUCGGAACGUGCCCGAUCGUGGGGGAUAACGCAGCGAAAGCUGCGCUAAUACCGCAUACGAUCUGAGGAUGAAAGCGGGGGACCGUAAGGCCUCGCGCGAUCGGAGCGGCCGAUGUCAGAUUAGGUAGUUGGUGGGGGAAAGGCUCACCAAGCCAACGAUCUGUAGCUGGUCGGAGAGGACGACCAGCCACACUGGGGCUGAGACACGGCCCAGACUCCUACGGGAGGCAGCAGUGGUGAAUUUUGGACAAUGGGCGAAAGCCUGAUCCAGCAAUGCCGCGUGCAGGAAGAAGGCCUUCGGGUUGUAAACUGCUUUUGUACGGAGCGAAAAGGCUCUCUCUGAUACAGGGGGCUCAUGACGGUACCGUAAGAAUAAGCACCGGCUAACUACGUGCCAGCCGCCGCGGUAA
rnacentral:rRNA from 1 species